rnacentral:rRNA from 1 species
GAUAUGGCUCAGGAUGAACGCUAGCGACAGGCUUAACACAUGCAAGUCGAGGGGCAGCAUGAUUUGUAGCAAUACAGAUUGAUGGCGACCGGCGCACGGGUGAGUAACGCGUAUGCAACUUACCUAUCAGAGGGGGAUAGCCCGGCGAAAGUCGGAUUAAUACCCCAUAAAACAGGGGUCCCGCAUGGGAAUAUUUGUUAAAGAUUCAUCGCUGAUAGAUAGGCAUGCGUU